rnacentral:rRNA from 1 species
UGGCUAACCAAGCUUUUCAACCUCAUUUUUCGGGCUAACAAGAUGCCAGAAGAAUGGAGACGGAGUAUAUUAGUACCAAUCUUCAAGAACAAGGGGGAUGUUCAGAGUUGUACUAAUUACCGUGGAAUUAAGCCGAUGAGCCAUACAAUGAAGCUAUGGGAGAGAGUCAUUGAGCAUUGCUUAAGAAGAAUGACAAGCGUGACCAAAAAUCAGUUUGGUUUCAUGCCUGGGAGGUCGACCAUGGAAGCCAUUUUCUUGGUACGACAACUUAUGGAGAGAUAUAGGGAGCAAAAGAAGGACUUGCAUAUGGUGUUCAUUGACUUGGAGAAGUCCUAUGAUAAGAUACCGCGGAAUGUCAUGUGGUGGGCCUUGGAGAAACACAAAGUUCCAGCAAAGUACAUUACCCUCAUCAAGGACAUGUACAAUAAUGUUGUGACAAGUGUUCGAACAAGUGAUGUCGACACCGAUGACUUCCCGAUUAAGAUAGGACUGCAUCAGGGGUCAGCUUUGAGCCCUUAUCUUUUUGCAUUGGUGAUGGAUGAGGUCACAAGGGAUAUACAAGGAGAUAUCCCAUGGUGUAUGCUCUUUGCGGAUGAUGUGGUGCUAGUUGACGAUAGUCGGACGGGGGUAAAUAGGAAGUUAGAGUUAUGGAGACAAACCUUGGAAUCGAAAGGGUUUAGGCUUAGU